GUCAGAGUUCAGAUGCAAACUUUACCGAUGGAGUUUUUCUGUAGAAGACAGAUGUUAGUGAAAUGUACUCCUUGGGAUAAAUCUGUUAUAGAGAGUUAUCACUUGCACAAGUCCAAGAAAGUUAUGGAGCCAAGCAUAUAAUUUCACAUCACUGAAUGGUGCAAUGGAAUCUUUCAAGUCCAGUUGUGGGAGCAGCUGGAUCCUCAAAUUAACCGCUCAUCCUGAAAAACAAUAUUCAGUAAUCACUGAGGAAGAUCUGCAUGACAAGAAUUUUAAUUCAACCACAAUAUAUUCUCAAAAGGUUCCCCAAAGAACUGAAGAAAUGUAAUUGUUGUUUUGUCUGUCUGCUGUACUAUCAUGUGAUCUGUUUCAUUCCUAUUGUUCAAACUAAAUACUGAUCCAUAAACUCUUCUAAUGUUUGCACAUCAUUCAUCUAUUUGAUGCUUGCAGCAAUGCUACCCCAGACCAGAUCCAGCAUCAUCUGCUUCCCUGUCAGAUUAAAUAAAUUAGUAACACAAACAUUAUUUAUUAUACAUAAGGAAGCAAAAGACAGGACAGCAGCACUGGAGUUCAUGUGACACUGAAGCAUAUUAGCACCUUUAUUCACAGUUUUAUUUUAGCAGGUGGUCCAUUGUUGGGGUAAUUUCCUUUCUUAAACUAAUGUACACAGAUGCCAAAGAAAAUGCUGGUGGUGCACAGCAUGUAGAAUCUGUAAAGAGAGAAGGCAGGGCAAAGCACAAUUCAUAUAUAUUCUCUUAGUCAAACUGUUUGAAGAAGGAUCUGCAGCUUAAACAAUGCUCCAACGUUUCCCCAUGGAGUUAUUCCAUAUUUUCAGCACUUCUGUUUUAUUUAAGACUCUUGACAUUUACAAAUUUUCUCUUUUUAUUCAUGGU